rnacentral:sRNA from 1 species
ACUUGCUCGGGCGAAAUAAAAUGUAUGUGCGUGUCGAUUCCGCCGGCGGUUACAAUAAGUCCUUCGCCCGCGAGCGCUUCAGUGCUUGCGCCCACUGUCAUUCCCUUUGUCACGCCGUCCAUCGUGUCGGGGUUUCCAGCCUUUCCGAUGCCGGCGAUUUUUCCGUCCUUGAUUCCGAUGUCAGCCUUGUAAAUUCCUGUCCAGUCAAGAAUCACGCAGUUAGUGAUCACCAAGUCAAGGUCGCCGCCGUCGCUUGUCGUAUUGACCGAUUGUCCCAUUCCGUCGCG